GUCCCCUUAGCUCAGCUGGAUAGAGCGUCCCCCUCCUAAGGGGAAGGCCGGAGGUUCGAAUCCUCCAGGGGACGCCA
rnacentral:tRNA from 1 species